rnacentral:lncRNA from 1 species
GCCGGGCAUAUACUGGUUUUGGAUGAUUUUGGCAAUCAUUGGAACUGCUAUGUUGCCAUGGAUACUACACCAAAAAUUUCCGAAAUAUGGAAAUGCUCCAAAUUUUAUGAAACUUCACAGUAACGAUGAGCAACAUUGGUAAAUGUGGAAUUUGGCGUUGCAAUUUCGAAAAUGUCUGCCGUUACCAUGGAAACAAUGCAAAACAGGUCAAAAUGGUCCAAAAACCUUAAAGUGGCAUUUACUUUCUUAAAAUGGUAGGUCAAAUUGAUCGAAACUUUGAUGGUAUGGUCCCUCCCAUGUACCAAUGUGGUAUAUGCCAUUAAAUUUUGGGAAUGGUCUCUGUUGCCAUAGGAACCAUCACAAAUGUCAAAAAUUUCAAAAAUUUCAAAAUGCUCCAAAAUUGAUGAAACUUAAUAUGAUUGUAGACUGUCAAGUCUGCAUGAGACUUUUGAAGUUGGAAU